UACGAAGGGGGCUAGCGUUGUUCGGAAUUACUGGGCGUAAAGGGCGCGCAGGCGGCCGCUCAAGUCAGAUGUGAAAGCCCCCGGGCUCAACCUGGGAACUGCAUUUGAUACUGAGUGGCUAGAGUUCGGGAGAGGAGAGUGGAAUUCCCAGUGUAGAGGUGAAAUUCGUAGAUAUUGGGAAGAACACCGGUGGCGAAGGCGGCUCUCUGGACCGAUACUGACGCUGAGGCGCGAAAGCGUGGGAGCAAACAGG
rnacentral:rRNA from 1 species